rnacentral:rRNA from 1 species
GAUGAACGCUGGCGGCGUGCCUAAUACAUGCAAGUCGAGCGAACGGACGAGAAGCUUGCUUCUCUGAUGUUAGCGGCGGACGGGUGAGUAACACGUGGAUAACCUACCUAUAAGACUGGGAUAACUUCGGGAAACCGGAGCUAAUACCGGAUAAUAUUUUGAACCGCAUGGUUCAAAAGUGAAAGACGGUCUUGCUGUCACUUAUAGAUGGAUCCGCGCUGCAUUAGCUAGUUGGUAAGGUAACGGCUUACCAAGGCAACGAUGCAUAGCCGACCUGAGAGGGUGAUCGGCCGCACUGGAACUGAGACACGGUCCAGAGUACUACGGGAGGCAGCAGUAGGGAACGUUCCGCAAUGGGCGAGAGCCUGACGGAGCAACGCCGCGUGAGUGAUGAAGGUCUUCGGAUCGUAAAACUCUGUUAUUAGGGAAGAACAUAUGUGUAAGUAACUGUGCACAUAUUGACGGUACCUAAUCAGAAAGCCACGGCUAACUACGUG